AACAAUUAGAAGAUUAAAAAAAAUUUAGAAUCUAGAUUGUUAACCCUAAAACCCCAAAAGUCAAAUCGAAAAUCUCAGGAAAAAUAAAAUCACUGUACCCAAAUCUAUUAAUAAGACGAACGUGAAGAAAAUUCAGAGCUUCGUUAAUGGCGGAUGAUAAUAGUUUAAGGUCUAACGGGAUGAAGAGAGAAAUAGACUUUAAGGUCGCAUGAGAGCAGCAAAAGUGAAAUAAAAUAAUUAGAUCUGUUAGAUCUGUUUUGAUAUCGGUCAAAUCUCCAUGUCGGUCGGUUAGAUGAAAUAAUAGGAACUCAAAUCUUAA
rnacentral:lncRNA from 1 species